UACGUAGGAGGCAAGCGUUGUUCGGAUUUACUGGGCGUAAAGGGCGCGUAGGCGGCGUAACAAGUCACUUGUGAAAUCUCCGGGCUUAACCCGGAGCGGCCAAGUGAUACUGUUGUGCUAGAGUGCGGAAGGGGCUACUGGAAUUCUCGGUGUAGCGGUGAAAUGCGUAGAUAUCGAGAGGAACACCUGCGGCGAAGGCGGGUAGCUGGGCCGACACUGACGCUGAGGCGCGAAAGCCAGGGGAGCGAACGGG
rnacentral:rRNA from 1 species